UCUUUGACAUUGACACUUACAUUAUAAAUAAACUUGACAAAAUCAAUUUGAGAAAUCGUUUUCAAUCUUAGUUUUCAAUUUAAUUUAAAUAGACAGUGACUAGAUUUUUCGCUAAAAACAUGGAUAUUGAAGAGAAUACAAUGACUGAAUUGGCUAAGGUUUCAAAAAUAGAUCCUACAGAAUUUGACGUUACAAUAAGUGCACUUUUAUUGGGAUUAGGAGCUGAAAAAUACGUCGAAAUAUUUAGAAAGAAUAAUAUUGGCCAGUGCACUUUGGCAGAACUAUCUGAAGAAGAUUUGAUAAAGUUGGGCAUAGAUGAUUCUGAAAUUAGGAACAAGUUGCUGGAAGAAGUUAAAAACUUGCCUCUCUAUGAAGAAACUGCUGAGCAGUUAUCAAAGGUUAACAUUAAUUUAGGUCCUAUAGAAGUUGUAGAAAUUCUUGAAGAAAGUUCCCAGCAUUUGUAUCGUAUCUACUUAAGUGUAUUAGCAAAUACAUUAGCUGUAAAAAAGACUAAAAGAAUUUCUGACUGUUUAGUUUAUAAAGACAAAUAUGCAUCUGAUGUGGCAAUUGCUACUCUUAGUGAGAUUACUAACAUUUUAAAUUCAAUGGACAUAUCAAUACAUACUCAACUUAAGACAUUAACACGAGAUCCUGGCCAAAGCAAAAAUAAGAAGAUAAUUGUUGGCGCGGUAGGCAGUGCAGUCAUUGCAGUGUUGACAGUGCUAUUUGUACGGUCUUUAAAAGACCUUAAAUAAACAUUUUGAUAUACAUAAUUAUAUAUCUGAAUACUGUGACAGGCAUGAUAGUGUACUUAUUGACUUGUAUAACUAGGAAAAUACUAAGUAUUUUAAAGUAUGUAGAUAGGUUUCUGGAACUCAAGGUUGUUAUUUUUUUAUAUGUAAAGUACACUAUCACCCUUGCACUCUCAUAUAAAUGUAACUAACUACCUCCUAAAAAUAUUUUUUUGUAUAUACAUACAUACAUAAUCUCCAAGGAAACUUAUAUUACUAUAGGUAGUUUUACAUUACAUAUCCCUUAAUAUAUUCAUGUGUAAAUCUAAAAGUGUUUGUAUUUUCAAAAUAUUUAAUAUCUUAAGUUAGGUGUCUUUGUUUUAAACUUUACUUAAGAGAUAAAAACCUUAAAAUAAACUUUUAUACAUACUUAUUCAAAAUAAUGAGGAUAAGUGUAAAUUCUUUAAAAUAAAUUCUCGGAGUUACAUUUUUCUUGUAUUCAUACUGGCAAAACUCAAAGCCUAGGUGUAAGCUAUCCACACUAUAAAUUAACUUUAAGUAAUACAUUGUUAAAU